rnacentral:rRNA from 2 species
AUUGAACGCUGGCGGCAUGCCUAACACAUGCAAGUCGAACGCGAAAGCCUUCGGGUGAGUAGAGUGGCGGACGGGUGAGUAACGCGUGGGAAUCUGCCCUGCAGUGGGGAACAACCCGGGGAAACUCGGGCUAAUACCGCAUACGUCCUAUGGGAGAAAGGGGGCUUCGGCUCUCGCUGCAGGAUGAGCCCGCGUCCGAUUAGCUUGUUGGUAGGGUAACGGCCUACCAAGGCAACGAUCGGUAGCUGGUCUGAGAGGAUGACCAGCCACACUGGGACUGAGACACGGCCCAGACUCCUACGGGAGGCAGCAGUGGGGAAUAUUGGACAAUGGGCGAAAGCCUGAUCCAGCAAUGCCGCGUGUGUGAAGAAGGCCUGCGGGUUGUAAAGCACUUUCAGUGGGGAAGAAAAGCCGAGGGUUAAUACCCCUAGGUCUUGACGUUACCCACAGAAGAAGCACCGGCUAACUCCGU